AUGGCUCUGUACUACCCCCCGGCUGAGGGCCUCAGCGAGGGCACAGGUGAUCAGCAACGUAAGCAAGCUCAGGCACACUCACCAAGUUCAGCAGGACAUGAUCUGAGAGGUGCGUGGCUUUGCCCUGAAUGCGCGGCAUGCCAUGGAGUUGCUCAAGGUCUCCAAAGACAAAUGGGCCCUCAAGUUCAUCAAGAAAAGGGUGGGGACACACAUCCACACCAAGAGGAGGUGAGAGGAGCUGAGUGACGUCCUGGCCACAAUGAGGAAAGCAGCUGCCAAGGACUGA
rnacentral:lncRNA from 1 species